rfam:Helianthus annuus linkage group 16, whole genome shotgun sequence.
CACUGCCUCGCUAACGAUUGAAUAGUCCGAUGAAGUGUUAAGAUCAUGGAGAUGUGGGCGGUUCGCUCCUAGGACGUCAUUAGAAUUCCACUAAACAUUAUCAUUUAGAGGAAGAAGAAUCGUAACAAGGUUUCCAUAGGUGAACCUACGGAAA